AAUUCUUGGAUCCUACUUCCAUACCUUUGUGCUGCAUUCAUGGUGUCCAACAUUUGGAACGGUGCUGUUUAUGAUGUCAAUAUAGGUGGACUCAGUAACAAUUUGCACUGCCUAGCAAGGUGUGUAAGUGCUGUGAUUGGGGGAAGCGAAUACACUCGGGUCGAAAGGGAGCAGCGAAUAAAUUCUCUUUCAAAUGUGCAUACAGAUGAACUGCAAGAGGCCGAGUUACCGAGCCGUGUCUCAGCAGAAGCAAAUAUCAAAUCUUGUAUGCAGAUCUACGUCAAACUGUCUGCAGGGAUCGUCCUGGAUUCAUGGAACGACACAAGCAGGCAGCACAUCGUCCCGAAGCUGACAUUCCAGGACCAGCUCUGCGAGCUGUCCCCGUACGUGCCAAGGAGCACCUUAGAAGCUCACAUCCCAUACACCAUCCUGCGCUCGAUAUACCACCAGCUGUACGGAGGCUCUCUGCUGGCCUCGGAACCGGCGGAGCAGUCCCCAAGGCAGUCGCCUCUCAUCUCUCUGGCACACGCGUCCCCGUCCGCAAGGCAGAUGCAGAACCGACCAGAGACAACACCCAGGUCCCACACCUUCGACCCAGGCUACUACAGCUCGUCGGGGUCCCAGCACGACGAUGGCUACGACGCGGAUAGGAGGGCCGGACGGCUGCUGCGCGGAGCAUGAGGCGCUCUGGACCGCUCGACUUCGGUGCGAGCAGAAAGGCGAAGAAGUUCGUCGAGGGCUCCAGCUCCGGGAGCAGCGAUGGAGCUGGCUCGUUGCAGAGGUUCGCAGUGUCGAGAUCUGGCCCUCUAUCGUACAAAUAGGGCCGCAUGUAAUGUAAACUCUAGAGCAGU